UACGUAGGGGGGCAAGCGUUGUCCGGAUUUAUUGGGCGUAAAGAGCGUGUAGGCGGCCGUACAGGUCAGCUGUGAAAACUCGAGGCUCAACCUCGAGACGUCGGUUGAAACCGUACGGCUAGAGUCCGGAAGAGGAGAGUGGAAUUCCCGGUGUAGCGGUGAAAUGCGCAGAUAUCGGGAAGAACACCCGUGGCGAAGGCGGCUCUCUGGGACGGUACUGACGCUGAGACGCGAAAGCGUGGGGAGCGAACGAGG
rnacentral:rRNA from 1 species